AUUGAACGCUGGCGGCAGGCUUAACACAUGCAAGUCGAACGAGUGGCGGACGGGUGAGUAAUGUCUGGGAAACUGCCCGAUGGAUGGGGAUAACUACUGGAAACGGUAGCUAAUACCGCAUACCAUCGGAUGUGCCCAGAUGGGUUUAGCUAGUUGGUGGGGUAACGGCUCACCUAGGCGACGAGCCCUUGCUGGUCUGAGAGGAUGACCAGCCACACUGGAACUGAGACACGGUCCAGACUCCUACGGGAGGCAGCAGUGGGGAAUAUGGCACAAUGGGCGCAGGCCUGAUACAGCCAUGCCGCGUGUAUGAAGAAGGCCGUCGGGUUGUAAAGUACUUUCAGCGAGGAGGCGUUACUCGCAGAAGAAGCACCGGCUAACUCCGUGCCAGCAGCCGCGGUAAUAC
rnacentral:rRNA from 1 species